UGCACAUUGAUAUUGCAACGGAUAAAAGCACAAGUAUUAAGAAGCUUAGCUGAAAUUCAAAACUUUCCCUCUCUCUCACUUGUCACCUCCGUCUCCUCCACGCUUGAGGUUCCCUCGGCGGUGGAGAUUUCUAUAAAUUAAAACCAAAGCCAUCACCAUCUUCCUCUUCUCGAGCUAACCAUGGAAAUGCCAUUAAUUUUUAUUGAAACCUAACCCAAUGCUCUAAUCGAACCAAUAUGGAGAAGAAUCCUAGGUUUUGAAUCCUAAAUUAAAUGAAGGUCCAGAUGAAUUGGAGCCCAAAAGGUUGGGGCUCUGGUUCCCUAGCCUCUAACCUACAUACCAGUAACAAAAUUGAAGAGAAAUGAAGGAAAGGAUCGAGCAGCUUACCAAAGAAGUCGAAGCUGGAGACGGCGACAGCGAUGGGAUUCAGGGCAGGUUGGAAUUUGGCUUCAUUUGAGAAUGGAUGCAUCAUUGAAUCAUGAAGGAUGACCAAAGUUCUUUCAUUUUGUAACUCAAUCUAAACACCAAGUCAUGUAAAUAGUAGGAUUCCAUGUGUUAGUAUAAUGUACGAUGCAAUGUUAUGUGUAAUAGUCAUAUAGUCAAUGCUCAUGUAUUAGUGUAAUGUUCAAUCAUGUAAUGAACUAAAGAUGUAUUUGAUUUUUGAAAAUGGUGAAUGCAAGGUUUUAUUCAAAUGCAAA